UAUUCUGCCCCACGGGGAAGGAUGAGAAGCUUCGANNCGAAGCGAGAGAACGUUGCCGCUGGCAAUGGCCCGAAGGCGAGGCGCUUUAGCGCCGAGUAAUCCUUCCCCCACCACUG
rnacentral:sRNA from 1 species